rnacentral:rRNA from 1 species
UACGAAGGGGGCUAGCGUUGUUCGGAAUUACUGGGCGUAAAGCGCACGUAGGCGGAUAUUUAAGUCAGGGGUGAAAUCCCAGGGCUCAACCCUGGAACUGCCUUUCAUACUGGCAAUCUUGAGUCCGGAAGAGGUGAGUGGAACUCCUAGUGUAGAGGUGGAAUUCGUAGAUAUUAGGAAGAACACCAGUGGCGAAGGCGGCUCACUGGUCCGGUACUGACGCUGAGGUGCGAAAGCGUGGGGAGCAAACAGG